CUUUCACUUGCUACUCCAAGAAACCCAGCUGAGAUAGCUUGGCAGGCGAGACGAAGAGAAUGGGUUGGUGAUCAGUCUCAGAAAUCACAAAGAGCGCCAAGGGAACCGAUAAUGAGGUAAGUGCUUCUAUUAAACUUUUUUCCAAACUUUUUACUGUACUGUUAUAUAUAGCUUGCACCAGUUCUUUGGUUAUGCCUUAUAAUUCUCCAUAGAUUUCUUGUCUUUCCUAUAGAUCUACGAAAAUUGUAUAUUUAGAGUUUUCCUUGGGGCAUUAAUAGAUCUCAAUUACGGAUGAUCUACCAGGAAACUGAAGGAUUCAUCAGUAUUUGUGUCAUUUUUUGUUGAACUCAGAACUUCUACUAUUAUUUUUUGGUCUGAGGGUAUCCUCUGAAUAAGAAAAGAAUGGCGGUACUAGAUAACACCAGUCAUGAUUUUAGUGUGUCAACAUACCAUAUGAACCAAAUGGUUUCUUCUGAAGCCCAUAUUGUCUUACCCUCUGCCUUUCAGGGAUCUUUUCCACAGUUGAAUUCUAAAUUUGGCAUGUGAUUUACAUCAUAUUAGAGCUUGUUGAAAUAUUUUUUAUGUAAAAGGUAAUCCUUGAGGAAAAGAAACUGGCAUCUCUUUUGGAAAUAUUCUUGCUUAAAAAGUCAGAACAUAUCUCACCUUACAUGUGGUGAGUGAUCUUGUCGCGUAGCGUACAUAUGCUUGUUCAAUGGAUCCACAGCCUCUUUACUUACCUGUUCAGCAUGGUAGUAUUUUUGUGGAUCGUAAAGACGAAUAUAUUCAAGGAAUCUAUUUUUUUUUUCUUUCAGCUGGACCACAACUUAUGAGGAUCUUCUUUUAACUACUGAACCUUUCCAGGAGCCCAUACCUUUAGCUGUAAGUUUCUUGUUUGCUUCCUUUCUUCCCUACCCUGGGUGAU